GCUGUUGUUGCUCAAGGGUACAGCACUUGCCUCGAAUGCAUGGGGCACUGAGUUUGAUCCUCAGCACCACA
rnacentral:tRNA from 1 species